AGAAAAAGUUUUCUUUUCUGGAGUCCCAAACGAGGUGCGGGACGGAAGAGGGGGUGAAGGCCAGAGGCUCGGGGCUUCAAGACCGCUGUCUGGAGUCCCCCGUUCCAGGCCAUGUCGGGGCCCACCUGGCUGCCCCCGAAGCAGCCGGAGCCCGCCAGAGCCCCUCAGGGGAGGGCGAUCCCCCGCGGCACCCCGGGGCCACCACCGGCCCACGGAGCAGUGUUACCAGGCCCCAGGGGGACCAGAGGAUCGGGGGCCGGCCUGGGUGGGGUCCCAUGGAGUACUCCAGCACACGCAGGUGAGAGCCGGGAUCGUGGGGUGGGACGUGCGGGAUCCCCUAGAACCGAGUCUGAGGGACCCAGGACAGGAGAAGGCCUAUGGUGAUUUGCAUUCUUCCUGCCCUGGCUCCAUCCUCAGGGGCUCCCUGCAGACAGGGGGGGCCUUCGCCCUG
rnacentral:sRNA from 1 species